rnacentral:rRNA from 1 species
UGGGGAAUUUUGGACAAUGGGCGCAAGCCUGAUCCAGCCAUGCCGCGUGCGGGAAGAAGGCCUUCGGGUUGUAAACCGCUUUUGUCAGGGAAGAAAUCUUCUGAGUUAAUACCUCGGGAGGAUGACGGUACCUGAAGAAUAAGCACCGGCUAACUACGUGCCAGCAGCCGCGGUAAUACGUAGGGUGCAAGCGUUAAUCGGAAUUACUGGGCGUAAAGCGUGCGCAGGCGGUUUUGUAAGACAGAGGUGAAAUCCCCGGGCUCAACCUGGGAACUGCCUUCGUGACUGCAAGGCUUGAGUGCGGCAGAGGGGGAUGGAAUUCCGCGUGUAGCAGUGAAAUGCGUAGAUAUGCGGAGGAACACCGAUGGCGAAGGCGAUCCCCUGGGCCUGCACUGACGCUCAUGCACGAAAGCGUGGGGAGCAAACAGGAUUAGAUACCCUGGUAGUCCACGCCCUAAACGAUGUCAACUGGUUGUUGGGAAGGUUCCUUCUCAGUAACGUAGCUAACGCGUGAAGUUGACCGCCUGGGGAGUACGGCCGCAAGGUUG